rnacentral:rRNA from 1 species
GUGGGGAAUAUUGGGCAAUGGGCGAAAGCCUGACCCAGCAACUCCGCGUGAAGGAAGAAGGUUUUCGGAUCGUAAACUUCUAUCCUUGGUGAAGAUAAUGACGGUAGCCGAGAAGGAAGCCCCGGCUAACUACGUGCCAGCAGCCGCGGUAAUACGUAGGGGGCAAGCGUUGUCCGGAAUGAUUGGGCGUAAAGGGCGCGUAGGCGGCCUGGUAAGUCUGGAGUGAAAGUCCUGCUUUUAAGGUGGGAAUUGCUUUGGAUACUGUCGGGCUUGAGUGCAGGAGAGGUAAGUGGAAUUCCCGGUGUAGCGGUGAAAUGCGUAGAGAUCGGGAGGAACACCAGUGGCGAAGGCGACUUACUGGACUGUAACUGACGCUGAGGCGCGAAAGUGUGGGGAGCAAACAGGAUUAGAUACCCUGGUAGUCC